rnacentral:rRNA from 1 species
UGAGGAAUAUUGGUCAAUGGGCGAGAGCCUGAACCAGCCAAGUAGCGUGCGGGAUGAAGGCCCUUGUGGUCGUAAACCGCUUUUAUCAGUGAAUAAAGUGCAUCACGCGUGGUGUCAUUGCAGGUAGCUGAAGAAAAAGGACCGGCUAAUUCCGUGCCAGCAGCCGCGGUAAUACGGAAGGUCCGGGCGUUAUCCGGAAUUAUUGGGUUUAAAGGGAGCGCAGGCGGGAGUGUAAGUCAGCUGUUAAAUAUCAGGGCCCAACUCUGUUAUGCAGUUGAAACUAUAUUUCUUGAGUACGCACAGGGAUGGCGGAAAUUCAGGGUGUAGCGGUGAAAUGCUUAGAUAUCCUGAAGAACUCCGAUCGCGAAGGCAGCCAUCCGGAGCGUAACUGACGCUGAGGCUCGAAGGUGCGGGUAUCGAACAGGAUUAGAUACCCUGGUAGUCCGCACGGUAAACGAUGAAUACUCGCAGUUCGGUCAUUAUGAUUGAGUUGUCCAGCGAAAGCGUUAAGUAUUCCACCUGGGGAGUACGCCGGCAACGGUG